GACGAACGCUGGCGGCGUGCCUAAUACAUGCAAGUUGAGCGCUGAAGGUUGGUACUUGUACCAACUGGAUGAGCAGCGAACGGGUGAGUAACGCGUGGGGAAUCUGCCUUUGAGCGGGGGACAACAUUUGGAAACGAAUGCUAAUACCGCAUAAAAACUUUAAACACAAGUUUUAAGUUUGAAAGAUGCAAUUGCAUCACUCAAAGAUGAUCCCGCGUUGUAUUAGCUAGUUGGUGAGGUAAAGGCUCACCAAGGCGAUGAUACAUAGCCGACCUGAGAGGGUGAUCGGCCACAUUGGGACUGGGACACGGCCCAAACUCCUACGGGAGGCAGCAGUAGGGAAUCUUCGGCAAUGGACGAAAGUCUGACCGAGCAACGCCGCGUGAGUGAAGAAGGUUUUCGGAUCGUAAAACUCUGUUGGUAGAGAAGAACGUUGGUGAGAGUGGAAAGCGCAUCAAGUGACGGUAACUACCCAGAAAGGGACGGCUAACUACGUG
rnacentral:rRNA from 1 species